AGAACGAACGCUGGCGGCAUGCCUAAUACAUGCAAGUCGAACGAACUCUUCGGAGUUAGUGGCGCACGGGUGCGUAACGCGUGGGAAUCUGCCCCUUGGUUCGGAAUAACAGUUGGAAACGACUGCUAAUACCGGAUGAUGACGAAAGUCCAAAGAUUUAUCGCCAAGGGAUGAGCCCGCGUAGGAUUAGCUAGUUGGUGAGGUAAAGGCUCACCAAGGCAACGAUCCUUAGCUGGUCUGAGAGGAUGAUCAGCCACACUGGGACUGAGACACGGCCCAGACUCCUACGGGAGCAGCAGUAGGAAUAUUGGAC
rnacentral:rRNA from 1 species